rnacentral:rRNA from 1 species
UACAGAGGGUGCGAGCGUUGCCCGGAUUUAUUGGGCGUAAAGGGCGCGUAGGCGGCCACGCACGUCCGUUGUGAAAUCGCCCGGCUCAACUGGGCGGGGUCGGCGGAUACGGCGUGGCUGGAGCAAGCUAGGGGGCAAUGGAAUUCCCGGUGUAGUGGUGGAAUGCGUAGAUAUCGGGAGGAACACCAGUGGCGAAGGCGGUUGCCUGGAGCUUUGCUGACGCUGAGGCGCGAAAGCGUGGGGAGCGAUCCGG